rnacentral:misc_RNA from 1 species
AUUAUGGGUCUCGACAAUGCGAUUGUCCCUGUUGACCAGCCAAAUACACCUACAGGUCCCCCUUUACCAGUUCUACUACCGUCAUCAACUGGUCAAGGACUACAGAUAAGUGGGCAGCUUACACGGCGUGAUGGACAAAUCUUUUACAGCAUUUUGUUUGAGAACAAUUCACAGAUUAUGCUUGAUGGUUUCAUGAUACAGUUUAACAAAAACACAUUCGGUCUUGCAGCUGCUGGACCCUUACAGGUCCCAGCAUUGCAACCUGGAGGGUCCGCUAGAACUCUUCUACCUAUGGUUUUAUUUCAG